GGAUGCAUGUGAUCACCUUGAGACACAGGUAGAGAGAAGACUGUCCUGGCCCGUCCAGUCGCAGGGGAAUGGCUGACAAAGGAGGCACAGAAGGACCCACUGGAGAGAAGAAACCAGGAAACUGGAAGCUUGGAGGCCAAGGGCAGAGUGGUCUAAGAAUAGGGGUAGAGGCCAGCUGUCGAGUGCUGCUGAGAGUCAAAUAAGGUAUAAAUCCAUGAAGGAGGAAAGGAACACGAGACUGCCAGUGUCAGCCAGCAGCGCCUGCAGGCAGAGCCAAAGGCCAGAGGCCUCAUUCCGGAACAGAGCAGCAG